CCUACGGGAGGCAGCAGUGAGGAAUAUUGGUCAAUGGACGAGAGUCUGAACCAGCCAAGUAGCGUGAAGGAUGACUGCCCUAUGGGUUGUAAACUUCUUUUAUAAAGGAAUAAAACGAGGCACGUGUGCCUUUUUGCAUGUAAUUUAUGAAUAAGGAUCGGCGAACUCCGUGCCAGCAGCAGCGGUAAUACGGAGGAUCCGCGCGUUAUCCGGAUUUAUUGGGAUUAAAGGGAGCGUAGAUGGGUUGUUAAGUCAGUUGUGAAAGUUUGCGGCUCAACCGUAAAAUUGCAAUUGAUACUGGCAGUCGUGAGUACAGUUGAGGUAGGCGGAAUUCGGGGUGUAGCGGUGAAAUGCUUAGAUAUCACGAAGAACCCCGAUUGCGAAGGCAGCUUACUAAACUGUGACUGACAUUGAUGCUCGAAAGUGUGGGUAUCAAACAGGAUUAGAUACCCUAGUAGUC
rnacentral:rRNA from 1 species